rnacentral:pre_miRNA from 1 species
GUCUUAGAAAACCAGGCUUUAAAGACGAUGCUGACGUCACGACCGUCUUUGAAGGUUGACUUUCUAAGACGUUGUCGACAUUAGCACCGUCUUUGAAGCUUGGCUUUCUAAGACAGUCGUGAUGUCAGCACCGUCUUAGAAGCCUGACUUUCUAAGACGUUCGUGAUGUCAACACCGUCUUUGAAGCCUGGCUUUCUAAGA